UACAGAGGGGGCAAGCGUUGUUCGGAAUUACUGGGCGUAAAGGGCGCGUAGGCGGCCUGUUAAGUCGAACGUGAAAUCCCCGGGCUCAACCCGGGAACUGCGUCCGAUACUGGCAGGCUUGAAUCCGGGAGAGGGAUGCGGAAUUCCAGGUGUAGCGGUGAAAUGCGUAGAUAUCUGGAGGAACACCGGUGGCGGAAGGCGGCAUCCUGGACCGGCAUUGACGCUGAGGCGCGAAAGCCAGGGGAGCAAAACGGGG
rnacentral:rRNA from 1 species